rnacentral:lncRNA from 7 species
UACAUUUGCUCAGAAGAAAAGCUGUUCUUCAAGUACCUCAGUGCUCACAUUAAAUUUAAGGAUCGGUUUAAGUAUGUUGCCUACACCAAGACCUUGAGAAAGUGAAAUAUGAUUUCCUAUUUAAAAUAUUUAAAUGAUACAGGCAGCCCAAGUGUUUUACAUUUCUUUUUCCUGCUUGGCUUCUAAUUCAUUUUUGACAUAGUUUCCUUUCAGUCUCUUCUCUGUAUCGUGAGUCUAUCUGUAAUAAUUCGGCACAAGUUGCACAAUUUGCAUGGAAAUGGAUAUUCCACCUUCCCAAUCAGAUGCUGUGAAGGACAAUUUCCAUAGUAAGGUACCAAGGGAAAAUGGCUAGCAGUGAGUUCUGUAGCUUUUCCUGCUCUGCAGGCCCUCUGGCUUAGCCAGCUGGAUCACACUGAAUUAGUCAAGUACUUCAUUAUCUCCCUUCUCUGCACAUUUUGCUCCAGAGUUACAGAGACUACCAAAAUCCUCCACACCUGAAAAAGUACCAGGAGAUCACUGUGAACUGUGCGUGUCACUUUGACAAGUCCUCCAUCAUAAACCAGUCACCCUAGAAAAACCAGCUCUUUGUUCUUGGAGAAACAACUAUUGUCAGAAUAUUUUACAUGUAAAUGAAACAUGGGAGCUCAUCUUCCUUUUAUUUGUCACUGCAAGCUUUACCCAUUUACCAUCCCUCUCCGAUUUUCCCAUUUAGCAGCGCACGGAAUCUGCAGUAGUGCAUAUUGUAAUAUGCAAAUUGUAUAUAGCAUUUUGGUGUCAGACACACUGAAAUUAAAUCAAAUGGAAAAAAAAAAAGGAAAGAGUGUAAUAAAGGUACCUUUAUGGCCUCAAGCUGUAGAUAAAUUGUGGUCUGUGGUAGUUAAACAACAGCUGUUCGGAUUUAAAACAAAAUUAUGAUAAGGAUCCCCAGAAGAUAACACCUCUUGAGGUAACAGCAUUUACCUAAAUGCAUCUGUUAGCGGCAAGCACCGUGACUUAAGACUGUUUAUGUGACAGUUUAUUCCUAUUUGUUCCCUUCCUCCUCGCCUCAUUCCUGUUUGCUGCUGACAAUUCUCCUACUGCAGUUUGAACCCAGUGGUCCCCAGACCACCUCUGCCAAGGCAGGACAGCCACCGCCUGUAGGUGAGGCCUGGCUGCCGCCCCCUGUGCUCAUGAGGAUUAACGAACAGCAAGAAAGCAAAUUGCUACAGUUAAAGGAAGAAAACAGCAGGACUAACACGUUUCAGUCGGGGUACUACGCUGAGACUCAGCAAUCUUUAUUCUCUUUGUGAGCAGCAGUUCUUUAAGAGCUUUACACCCAAUAAAAUUUAAACUU